UACGUAGGUGGCAAGCGUUGUCCGGAUUUAUUGGGUUUAAAGGGUGCGUAGGCGGCCCUGUAAGUCAGUGGUGAAAUACGGCAGCUCAACUGUCGAGGUGCCAUUGAUACUGCAGGGCUAGAGUACUGAUGAGGUAGGCGGAAUGGACGGUGUAGCGGUGAAAUGCUUAGAUAUCGUCCAGAACACCGAUAGCGAAGGCAGCUUACUAAGGAGUAACUGACGCUGAGGCACGAAAGUGUGGGAUCAAACAGGAUUAGAAACCCCCGUAGUCC
rnacentral:rRNA from 1 species